rnacentral:rRNA from 1 species
CCUACGGGGGGCUGCAGUGGGGAAUAUUGGACAAUGGGGGGAACCCUGAUCCAGCCAUGCCGCGUGUGUGAAGAAGGCCCUCGGGUUGUAAAGCACUUUCAGUGAGGAAGAACGCCUGGUGGUUAAUACCCAUCAGGAAAGACAUCACUCACAGAAGAAGCACCGGCUAACUCCGUCCCAGCAGCCGCGGUAAUACGGAGGGUGCGAGCGUUAAUCGGAAUUACUGGGCGUAAAGCGCGCGUAGGUGGCUUGAUAAGCCGGUUGUGAAAGCCCCGGGCUCAACCUGGGAACGGCAUCCGGAACUGUCAAGCUAGAGUGCAGGAGAGGAAGGUAGAAUUCCCGGUGUAGCGGUGAAAUGCGUAGAGAUCGGGAGGAAUACCAGUGGCGAAGGCGGCCUUCUGGACUGACACUGACACUGAGGUGCGAAAGCGUGGGUAGCAAACAGGAUUAGAUACCCUGGUAGUC